rnacentral:tRNA from 1 species
UCCAGAAUAGCUCAAUGGUAGAGCAAUCGGCUGUUAACCGAUGGGUUGUAGGUUCGAGCCCUACUUCUGGAGCCA